rnacentral:misc_RNA from 1 species
GAUGAAGAACGCAGCGAAAUGCGAUAAGUAAUGCGAAUUGCAGAAUUUCCGUGAGUCAUCGAAUCUUUGAACGCACAUUGCGCCCACUGGUAUUCCGGUGGGCAUGCCUGUUCGAGCGUCAUUAUCCUCCCUCAAACCCCGGGUUUGGUGUUGGACCCAAGUUGUGUGAACAACUGGUCUCAAAGACAAUGACGGCGUCCGUGGGACCCUCGGUGCAACGAGCUUUUAGGAGCACGCAUCGAGUUGCUAGGACCUUCCGGGCCGGUCUCCUUUACCAUUUUACAAGGUUGACCUCGGAUCAGGUAGGAAUACCCGCUGAACUUAAGCAUAUCAAUAAGCGGAGGA